GGGUUGUGAGGUUAAGCGACUAAGCGUACACGGUGGAUGCCCUGGCAGUCAGAGGCGAUGAAGGACGUGCUAAUCUGCGAUAAGCGUCGGUGAGGUGAUAUGAACCGUUAUAACCGGCGAUUUCCGAAUGGGGAAACCCAGUGUGUUUCGACACACUAUCAUUAACUGAAUCCAUAGGUUAAUGAGGCGAACCGGGGGAACUGAAACAUCUAAGUACCCGAGGAAAAGAAAUCAACCGAGAUUCCCCCAGUAGCGGCGAGCGAACGGGGAGGAGCCCAGAGCCUGAAUCAGUGUGUGUGUUAGUGGAAGCGUCUGGAAAGGCGCGCGAUACAGGGUGACAGCCCCGUACACAAAAAUGCACAUACUGUGAGCUCGAUGAGUAGGGCGGGACACGUGGUAUCCUGUCUGAAUAUGGGGGGACCAUCCUCCAAGGCUAAAUACUCCUGACUGACCGAUAGUGAACCAGUACCGUGAGGGAAAGGCGAAAAGAACCCCGGCGAGGGGAGUGAAAAAGAACCUGAAACCGUGUACGUACAAGCAGUGGGAGCCUCUUAAUGGGGUGACUGCGUACCUUUUGUAUAAUGGGUCAGCGACUUAUAUUCUGUAGCAAGGUUAACCGAAUAGGGGAGCCGAAGGGAAACCGAGUCUUAACUGGGCGUUAAGUUGCAGGGUAUAGACCCGAAACCCGGUGAUCUAGCCAUGGGCAGGUUGAAGGUUGGGUAACACUAACUGGAGGACCGAACCGACUAAUGUUGAAAAAUUAGCGGAUGACUUGUGGCUGGGGGUGAAAGGCCAAUCAAACCGGGAGAUAGCUGGUUCUCCCCGAAAGCUAUUUAGGUAGCGCCUCGUGAAUUCAUCUCCGGGGGUAGAGCACUGUUUCGGCAAGGGGGUCAUCCCGACUUACCAACCCGAUGCAAACUGCGAAUACCGGAGAAUGUUAUCACGGGAGACACACGGCGGGUGCUAACGUCCGUCGUGAAGAGGGAAACAACCCAGACCGCCAGCUAAGGUCCCAAAGUCAUGGUUAAGUGGGAAACGAUGUGGGAAGGCCCAGACAGCCAGGAUGUUGGCUUAGAAGCAGCCAUCAUUUAAAGAAAGCGUAAUAGCUCACUGGUCGAGUCGGCCUGCGCGGAAGAUGUAACGGGGCUAAACCAUGCACCGAAGCUGCGGCAGCGACACUAUGUGUUGUUGGGUAGGGGAGCGUUCUGUAAGCCUGUGAAGGUGUACUGUGAGGUAUGCUGGAGGUAUCAGAAGUGCGAAUGCUGACAUAAGUAACGAUAAAGCGGGUGAAAAGCCCGCUCGCCGGAAGACCAAGGGUUCCUGUCCAACGUUAAUCGGGGCAGGGUGAGUCGACCCCUAAGGCGAGGCCGAAAGGCGUAGUCGAUGGGAAACAGGUUAAUAUUCCUGUACUUGGUGUUACUGCGAAGGGGGGACGGAGAAGGCUAUGUUGGCCGGGCGACGGUUGUCCCGGUUUAAGCGUGUAGGCUGGUUUUCCAGGCAAAUCCGGAAAAUCAAGGCUGAGGCGUGAUGACGAGGCACUACGGUGCUGAAGCGACAAAUGCCCUGCUUCCAGGAAAAGCCUCUAAGCAUCAGGUAACAUCAAAUCGUACCCCAAACCGACACAGGUGGUCAGGUAGAGAAUACCAAGGCGCUUGAGAGAACUCGGGUGAAGGAACUAGGCAAAAUGGUGCCGUAACUUCGGGAGAAGGCACGCUGAUAUGUAGGUGAAGCGACUUGCUCGUGGAGCUGAAAUCAGUCGAAGAUACCAGCUGGCUGCAACUGUUUAUUAAAAACACAGCACUGUGCAAACACGAAAGUGGACGUAUACGGUGUGACGCCUGCCCGGUGCCGGAAGGUUAAUUGAUGGGGUUAGCGGUAACGCGAAGCUCUUGAUCGAAGCCCCGGUAAACGGCGGCCGUAACUAUAACGGUCCUAAGGUAGCGAAAUUCCUUGUCGGGUAAGUUCCGACCUGCACGAAUGGCGUAAUGAUGGCCAGGCUGUCUCCACCCGAGACUCAGUGAAAUUGAACUCGCUGUGAAGAUGCAGUGUACCCGCGGCAAGACGGAAAGACCCCGUGAACCUUUACUAUAGCUUGACACUGAACAUUGAGCCUUGAUGUGUAGGAUAGGUGGGAGGCUUUGAAGUGUGGACGCCAGUCUGCAUGGAGCCGACCUUGAAAUACCACCCUUUAAUGUUUGAUGUUCUAACGUGGGCCCCUUACCGGGGUUGCGGACAGUGUCUGGUGGGUAGUUUGACUGGGGCGGUCUCCUCCUAAAGAGUAACGGAGGAGCACGAAGGUUGGCUAAUCCUGGUCGGACAUCAGGAGGUUAGUGCAAUGGCAUAAGCCAGCUUGACUGCGAGCGUGACGGCGCGAGCAGGUGCGAAAGCAGGUCAUAGUGAUCCGGUGGUUCUGAAUGGAAGGGCCAUCGCUCAACGGAUAAAAGGUACUCCGGGGAUAACAGGCUGAUACCGCCCAAGAGUUCAUAUCGACGGCGGUGUUUGGCACCUCGAUGUCGGCUCAUCACAUCCUGGGGCUGAAGUAGGUCCCAAGGGUAUGGCUGUUCGCCAUUUAAAGUGGUACGCGAGCUGGGUUUAGAACGUCGUGAGACAGUUCGGUCCCUAUCUGCCGUGGGCGCUGGAGAACUGAGGGGGGCUGCUCCUAGUACGAGAGGACCGGAGUGGACGCAUCACUGGUGUUCGGGUUGUCAUGCCAAUGGCACUGCCCGGUAGCUAAAUGCGGAAGAGAUAAGUGCUGAAAGCAUCUAAGCACGAAACUUGCCCCGAGAUGAGUUCUCCCUGACUCCUUGAGAGUCCUGAAGGAACGUUGAAGACGACGACGUUGAUAGGCCGGGUGUGUAAGCGCAGCGAUGCGUUGAGCUAACCGGUACUAAUGAACCGUGAGGCUUAACCUUACAACGCCGAAG
rnacentral:rRNA from 1 species